UUUGCACCUGAUUCUGACAUCGUAUGAGGACCAUUCUUGCAUCAUAUUGACUAAUUUUUCAUGGUUUUAGGGAUUUUCCACCUGAGUCUGACAUCGUAGAAGAACCAUUCUGGUAUCAAAUUAUAAAGAUUUUGCACCUGAGUCUGACAUCGUAGAGGGACCAUUCUUGCAUCAGAUUGGAUUUUGCACCUGAGUCUGAUAUCGUAGAAAACCAUUCUUGCAUCAGAUUGGAUUUUGCACCUGAGUCUUACAUUGUAGAAGGACCAUUUUUGCAUCAGAUUGGAUUUUGCACCUGAGUCUGACACUGUAGAAGGACCAUUUUUGCACCAGAUUGACUAAUUUUUGCUUGUUUGAGGGAUUUUGCACCUGAGUCUGACAUCGUAGAAAGACCAUUCUUGCAUCAUAUUGAAUCUUGCACCUGAGUCUGACAUCGUAGAAGGACCAUUUUUGUAUCAGAUUGAAUUUUGCAGCUGAGUCUGACAUCGUAGAAGGACCAUUCUGGUAUCAGAUUAGAUUUUGCACCUGAGUCUGACAUCGUAGAGGACCAUUCUUGCAUCAGAUUGGAUUUUGCACCUGAGUCUGAUAUCGUAGAAAACCAUUCUUGCAUCAGAUUGGAUUUUGCACCUGAGUCUUACAUUGUAGAAGGACCAUUUUUGCAUCAGAUUGGAUUUUGCACCUGAGUCUGACAUCGUAGAAGGACCAUUCUUGUAUCAGAUUGGAUUUUGCACCUGAGUCUGACAUCGUAGAAGGACCAUUCUUGCAUCAGAUUGGAUUUUGCACCUGAGUCUGACAUCGUAGAAGGACCAUUCUGGUAUCAGAUUAGAUUUUUCACCUGAGUCUGACAUCGUAGAAGGACCAUUCUUGCAUCAGAUUGGAUUUUGCACCUGAGCCUGACAUCGUAGAUGGCAUCAUAUUGUGAAUAUUUAAUUUCUUUUUCAUUAUCUGCUUGUGUGUUUUCUUUAAUAAAUAAUAUUUUUAAGUA